rnacentral:rRNA from 1 species
GACAGAGGUGCCGAGCGUUAGGCGGAAUCACUGGGCUUAAAGCGUGUGUAGGCGGGCGGGCAAGUACCUUGUGAAAUCCCACGGCUCAACCGUGGAACGGCUGGGUAUACUGCCUGUCUUGAGCCAGCUAGGGGCGAGCGGAACAGACGGUGGAGCGGUGAAAUGCGUAGAUAUCGUCUGGAACGCCGAAGGUGAAAACAGCUCGCUGGGGCUGUGCUGACGCUGAGACACGAAAGCCAGGGGAGCGAACGGG